rnacentral:rRNA from 1 species
GUAGGUGGCAAGCGUUGUCCGGAAUUAUUGGGCGUAAAGCGCGCGCAGGCGGUUCUUUAAGUCUGAUGUGAAAGCCCACGGCUCAACCGUGGAGGGUCAUUGGAAACUGGAGAACUUGAGUACAGAAGAGGAAAGCGGAAUUCCACGUGUAGCGGUGAAAUGCGUAGAGAUGUGGAGGAGCACCAGUGGCGAAGGCGGCUUUCUGGUCUGUAACUGACGCUGAGGCGCGAAAGCGUGGGGAGCAAACAGGAUUAGAUACCCUGGUAGUCCACGCCGUAAACGAUGAGUGCUAAGUGUUAGGGGGUUUCCGCCCCCCUUAGUGCUGCAGCUAACGCAUUAAGCACUCCGCCCUGGGAGUACGGCCGCAAGGCUG